CCAUUUACGUCCCCCUCCCUAUGCCCCUAACGCCAGUGCUCCUCUGCUCGACAACAACUAUAACGGUAGCCCAGCUGGCCUGCCACAAAGACGUUUCUCCCAGCCCCCUGCUUAUGGGGAUUCUGCUGCCCCUUCCUUCGACCAGCAUUACAAAAGGUCAACUGGUCCGCCCCGUAGAGCUUCCCUCGGCCACCCCCUGUCUGAUGAUGGGUAUGCACCAUGGCCUAACAACAUCUACCCCAACCCACAUGACCUAGUAAGGAAACAGUUUCCUUAAUUACCUCCGCCAAGGAGGUUAUGUUUUCGGUCACAUUGGUUUGUCUGUCUGUUUGUUUUCUCCGCAAAGGAGGUUAUAUUUUCGGUCACAUUGGUUUGUCUGUCUGUUUGUUUAUUUGUCAGCAGGAUAACUCAAAAAGUUAUGAUCGAAUUUGGAUGAAACUGUGUGGAGUUGUUGGAAAUGACCAUAGGAACAAGUGAUGGUAUU